rnacentral:rRNA from 1 species
GUAGUCUGCAACCCGACUACAUGAAGCUGGAAUCGCUAGUAAUCGCGGAUCAGAAUGCCGCGGUGAAUACGUUCCCGGGUCUUGUACACACCGCCCGUCACACCAUGGGAGUCGGAAAUGCCCGAAGUCUGUGACCUAACCGUAAGGAAGGAGCAGCCGAAGGCAGGUCGGAUGACUGGGGUGAAGUCGUAACAAGGUAAC